rnacentral:rRNA from 1 species
UACGGAGGGUGCGAGCGUUAAUCGGAAUUACUGGGCGUAAAGCGCUCGUAGGCGGUAUGUCAAGUCAAGGGUGAAAUCCCCGCGCUCAACGUGGGAACUGCCUUUGAAACUGGCAAACUGGAGUGUGUGAGAGGAUAGUGGAAUUCCAGGUGUAGGAGUGAAAUCCGUAGAUAUCUGGAGGAACAUCAGUGGCGAAGGCGACUAUCUGGCACAUAACUGACGCUGAGGAG